AACGAACGCUGGCGGCAGGCCUAACACAUGCAAGUCGAGCGAGGACUUCGGUUCUAGCGGCGGACGGGUGAGUAACGCGUGGGAAUGUGCCCUUCUCUACGGAAUAGCCCUGGGAAACUGGGAGUAAUACCGUAUACGCCCUAUUGGGGAAAGAUUUAUCGGAGAAGGAUCAGCCCGCGUUGGAUUAGGUAGUUGGUGGGGUAAUGGCCUACCAAGCCGACGAUCCAUAGCUGGUUGGAGAGGAUGAUCAGCCACACUGGGACUGAGACACGGCCCAGACUCCUACGGGAGGCAGCAGUGGGGAAUCUUAGACAAUGGGGGCAACCCUGAUCUAGCCAUGCCGCGUGAGUGAUGAAGGCCUUAGGGUUGUAAAGCUCUUUCAGCUGGGAAGAUAAUGACGGUACCAGCAGAAGAAGCCCCGGCUAACUCCGUG
rnacentral:rRNA from 1 species